AGGCAGCUGCUCUUCUAGCUUCUGAUUAUCAUCCCCAAGCCAUGCCUUGGUCAUUUCUGAGUUGAACAAAAUCAUGGAAGAUGUGACUGUCAAGUGGAGACAUCGAGCCUUUCUGCUGCCCUCAGCAUCUCCCAGCAGCCUCUCUGGUUCAAGACUUUCUUUGUCUCUAGAAGUUGCUCCAGGAUCCCAGACUGUAUUGCUAAGCCAUUGCCAACGAUUUGCACUUCUGUCGUCCCUUUCAUCUGGGAACCACAAGGCCAUCUGAAACUUCUCUGAUCAGCUUCAGAGGAGUCCCCUCUAUCAGCCUUGCGGACCUUGGAGUUUCCACACUGACCAUCUCUCCCCAGGAUCAUCUCUGCUUUCAUGGC
rnacentral:lncRNA from 1 species